CUUGGAUGACUGACGGAUAAUUGUUUGAAGCUCUCCGACGUCAUUCUGAGGGACACAAUGUUUCUUCAUGAGCAACUGGAUGUCUCCGUCUUUGCCCAUAAAAGAAAUUGCUUCUCAAAAAUAAAUAAAAAUGGCAUCCAUAUUUGUAAGUGCAACCAUGUUGGACACAGUCUGACGCAUGCUCCUCAUCUUUUCUCGCGCGAGCUAAUUCUUAACAGAAAAGAGAUGAAAAAAAAUGGCAAAUCUUCCUUGGAAAGAACUAUCAUCACGUUGACAGACACUAAUCAAAGUGUGGGGGCAAAAAAGAAAAGCUUAGUCAAUGUGACAGUUAUUAAUAACAAGCUGGAGUACCCGUCUGUUGUACUGGUGAAAUAAAAACUCGUUU